rnacentral:tRNA from 1 species
UAAAGGUUAGUUUAAAAUAAAAAUUCUGGUCUGUGGAACCGGGGAUAACAUUGUUACCUUU